AGUGAACGCCGGCGGUAGGCCUAACACAUGCAAGUCGAACGGCAGCACAGUAAGAGCUUGCUCUUACGGGUGGCGAGUGGCGGACGGGUGAGGAGUACAUCGGAAUCUACUUUUUCGUGGGGGAUAACGUAGGGAAACUUACGCUAAUACCGCAUACGACCUACGGGUGAAAGCAGGGGAUCUUCGGACCUUGCGCGAUUGAAUGAGCCGAUGUCGGAUUAGCUAGUUGGCGGGGUAAAGGCCCACCAAGGCGACGAUCCGUAGCUGGUCUGAGAGGAUGAUCAGACACUGUGAAAGUGACACACUCUCCAGACCUCCACGAGGGGCAGCAGUGGAAAAUAGUGCACUGGGGGCGAACGCGUGACACAGCCACACCGCGUGGGUGAAGAAGCUUCGGGGGGUGUAGAGCUUUUGUGUUGAAAGAAAAGAGCCACAGUUUAAUACCGCGCUGUUGUCACGGUCCACAGAAUAUAGGCACGCUCUCUCCGCG
rnacentral:rRNA from 1 species